UGUGUUCAAAGUCCACAUGUGUGCAG
rnacentral:piRNA from 1 species